rnacentral:rRNA from 1 species
CCUACGGGAGGCAGCAGUGGGGAAUAUUGCACAAUGGGGGAAACCCUGAUGCAGCGAUGCCGCGUGAGUGAAGAAGUUAUUCGUUAUGUAAAGCUCUAUCAGCAGGGAAGAAAAUGACGGUACCUGAAUACGAAGCCCCGGCUAACUACGUGACAGCAGCCGCGGUAAUACGUAGGGGGCAAGCGGUAUCCGGAUUUACUGGGUGUAAAGGGAGCGUAGACGGCAGUGCAAGUCUGGAGUGAAAGGGGGGGGCUCAACCCCCAGACUGCUAUGGAAACUAUACGGCUGGAGUGCAGGAGAGGUAAGUGGAAUUCCUAGUGUAGCGGUGAAAUGCGUAGAUAUUAGGAGGAACACCAGUGGCGAAGGCGGCUUACUGGACUGUAACUGACGUUGAGGCUCGAAAGCGUGGGGAGCAAACAGGAUUAAAUACCCCAGUAGUC